rnacentral:rRNA from 1 species
GAACGGGUGAGUAACACGUAAAGAACCUGCCUYAUAGACUGGGACAACUAUUGGAAACGAUAGCUAAUACCGGAUAACAGCAUUAACUGCAUGGUUGAUGUUUAAAAGUUGGUUUUGCUAACACUAUGAGAUGGCUUUGCGGUGCAUUAGCUAGUUGGUGGGGUAAAGGCCUACCAAGGCGACGAAGCAAAGCCGACCUGAGAGGGUGAUCGGCCACACUGGGACUGAGACACGGCCCAGACUCCUACGGGAGGCAGCAGUAGGGAAUCUUCCGCAAUGGGCGAAAGCCUGACGGAGCAACGCCGCGUGAGUGAAGAAGGAUUUCGGUUCGUAAAGCUCUGUUGUUAGGGAAGAAUGAUUGUGUAGUAACUAUACACAGUAGAGACGGUACCUAACCAGAAAGCCACGGCUAACUACGUGCCAGCAGCCGCGGUAAUACGUAGGUGGCAAGCGUUGUCCGGAAUUAUUGGGCGUAAAACGCGCGCAGGUG